rnacentral:rRNA from 1 species
GAUGAACGCUGGCGGCGUGCCUAACACAUGCAAGUCGAGCGAACGGACGGGAAGCUUUCUUCUCUGCUGUUAGCGACGGACGGGUGAGUAACACGUGGAUAACCUACCUAUAAGACUGGGAUAACUACGGGAGACCGGAUAUAAUACCGGAUCAUAUUUUGAACGGCAUGGUUCAAAAGUGCUAGACGGUCUUGCUGACUCUAAUAGAUGGUUCCGCGCUGCAUUAGCUAGUUGGUAAGGUAACGGCUUACCAAGGCAACGAUGCAUAGCCGACCUGAGAGGGUGAUCAGCCACACUGGAACUGAGACACGGUCCAGACUCCUACGGGAGGCAGCAGUGGGGAAUCUUCCGCAAUGGGCGAAAGCCUGACGGAGCAACACCGCGUGAGUGAAGAAGGUCUUCGGAUCGUAAAACUCUUUUAUUAGGGAAGAACAUAAGUGUAAGUAACUGUGCACAUCUUGACGGUACCUAAUCAAAAAGCCACGGCUAACUUCGUG